UACAGGGGGUGCAAACGUUGUUCGGAAUCACUGGGCAUAAAGCGCACGUAGGCGGCGGCGUAAGUUGGAUGUGAAAUCCCCCGGCCCAACCGGGGAACUGCGUCCAGUACUGCGUUGCUUGAGGAUCCAAGGGGUGCAUGGAAUUCCCGGUGGAGCGGUGAAAUGCGUUGAUAUCGGGAGGAACUCCGGCGGCGAAAGCGGUGCACUGGUGGAUUACUGACGCUGAGGUGCGAAAGCCAGGGGAGCAAACGGG
rnacentral:rRNA from 1 species